rnacentral:rRNA from 1 species
AUUGAACGCUGGCGGCAUGCCUUACACAUGCAAAUCGAACGGUAACGGGCCUUCGGGUGCCGACGAGUGGCGAACGGGUGAGUAAUACAUCCGAACGUGCCCGAUCCUGGGGGAUAACGAGGCGAAAGCUUUGCUAAUACCCCAUACGAUCUACGGCUGACAGCAGGGGACCGCCUGGCCUUUCGCGGCCGGAGCGGCCGAUGGCAGACUAGGUAGUUGGUGGGAUAAAAGCUUACCAAGCCGACGAUCUGUAGCUGGUCUGGGAGGAUGAUCAGCCACACUGGGACUGAGACACGGCCCAGAAUCAUACGGGAGGCAGCAGUGGGGAAUUUUGGACAAUGGACGCAAGCCUGAUCCAGCCAUGCCGCGUGCAGGAUGAAGGCCUUCGGGUUGUAAACUGAUUUUGUACGGAACGAAAAGCCUUCUUUUAAUACAGGAGGGUCAUGACGGUACCGUAAGAAUAAGCACCGGCUAACUACGUG